rnacentral:rRNA from 1 species
AGUGAACGCUGGCGGUAGGCCUAACACAUGCAAGUCGAACGGCAGCACAGUAAGAGCUUGCUCUUACGGGUGGCGAGUGGCGGACGGGUGAGGAAUACAUCGGAAUCUACUUUUUCGUGGGGGAUAACGUAGGGAAACUUACGCUAAUACCGCAUACGACCUACGGGUGAAAGCAGGGGAUCUUCGGACCUUGCGCGAUUGAAUGAGCCGAUGUCGGAUUAGCUAGUUGGCGGGGUAAAGGCCCACCAAGGCGACGAUCCGUAGCUGGUCUGAGAGGAUGAUCCGCCACACUGGAACUGAGACACGGUCCAGAAUCCUAAGGGAGGCAGCAGUGGGGAAUAUUGGACAAGGGGCGCAAGCCUAAUCCAGCCAUACCGCGUGGGUGAAGAAGGCCUUCGGGUUGUAAAGCCCUUUUGUUGGGAAAGAAAAGAAGCCGGUUAAGACCCCGCUGUUCUGACGGUACCCAAAGAAUAAGCACCGGCUAACUUCGU